AAUGACAAAGAUUGUCAAUGUCAGGGUCACCUAAAGGCGAAAGGUCGUCAUCAUCAAAUAUCGUAUCGCACGUGCUGUAGGCACAAUGCUUAUAUUAUGAUUUUAAUUCAAAUUUUAUUUUCUUAUUGCUUUUGAUUCAUAAAUGGAAUGUCGUGAUUGGCAGGGUUAGUGGGCUAAAUGGAAGGAUUCAGCACAUUUGGUGGUCGUAUAUAAGUGAUGCACCUGUCAACCAUGACAGCUUGUGACGGACUGGAUUCUCUGAUCAUCGGAGCACUAUGGAUGUAUCACCGUGUAUUCUGUUUAUUUGUUUGACCACAUGCAUAUUUGACUUGUUUACGAUGGCUGACCAGUUCAUGGGAGGGGUCAGUGGCUCAAGAGAAAUGAGCACUGGUCAAGAUCAGCUGGACGGGUAUUGCAAUCAGCCUGAAUUGGUGACUGGACAUGAAGGUGAGUCAUUUCCAGGCUACAGUCUGCGAAUGGUACAAGUUCUUAUGUCGCCAGGUCAGUCUGACAUCUCACACAUCAUGAAACACACCAGCCACAUUCCACCCAGCAUGUCAUGUGACCCUUCUGUCAUGGGAACGAUGCAAUCUGACCAGUUAGCAAGCCUGAAGCAGUCUGUCAUGGAACAUGCCAACCUUGGUCGCAGUCACCCAGACCUGAAAAGGUUCUUGCCAACUUUCACUGGGACCUGUGCUCGAGACCAUCUCUCACCACACGGUUUCCUGCAACUUGUCUCAAUCGGCAACCACUUUAAAGAGUCUUAUCUAAACAAAUUGGAACACAAGAGGAUGAAGCCUGUGUAUUCCAGUUUACAUGUAGAGACCAUUGAAUCAAGUGCGGCAUAUCAGAGUGUUCUGGGUUUGCUACAUGGAAUGGUAGCAAAGAAUCAAUUUAAUAAAAUGAAAAUACAAAAAAUCACAAGACAAAUGUGUGACACCUAUGACGCCAAACUCCCAUCAUGUUCCUGUGGCCGCAUUCGUGAUCUCUCCCCAUUCUUUACCCAGGCCAUUGCAACAGGAAGGCAUGCGUUCAAAAAUACUUCACCACAUGACCUAGAAACACUGUUCAAAACACACUUGAACAGCACUUGGUUAGAUACACACUUGAACAGCACUUGGUUAGAUACUACAAGCCUUCAACUAUUCCGUGUAGCAAUGCAAUACCAGUGUCCGGCUGACAAAGCUCAUUGCCAGGAUUGGAGCCUCUGUAACAUGUUCACCAGGGAAAUUCUACACAAUCUGUACAACCUGUCAGCAGACUACCUCUACAGCUUGUACACUGACCCUAUAUACCAGUCGUUUGCCAGACUGAAGGCGUAUCCGUUUCUACAGCAAGUUGUCAAUCGAGCCACUGGGCCCUCUACAAACCAGUCCAUGUUUGUUUCCUUUGGAGACCUGAACUUCCUGCAAUAUGUGCGAACCAGUCUGUCUUAUAUCAAGAGGGAAAGCCCCAAAUUAGCGUCAAGGUCACUAGGUCAAAGGUCAAGGACACAGUGACUCGAAACUGUAAAAUGGUUUCCAGGUGAUAACUCAAGAAUACUUAGGCCUAGGAUCAUGAAACUUCACAGGCUGAUAUUUGAGAUAUUUCAGAAGAAUAAUGGCCAGAAAGCUGGUGGUGAAUUGUUCUUUAGAAUCCUCAACGACGGCGAAGAAAUCUCAAACCUCAUUCAAGGCUGCAGCAAAGCAAUCAAACUUUGUCCACUGCGCAAUCUGAUUUCCAUGGUAUCUGAUUUCAGAAAAGAUUUUCUACAUCAGUGCUUUCAGUUUUCACUUUAAAUGUUCAGUAUUUAUUUUUAAUUCUGCCCCUUCCAUCUAUUGAUGCAAAAGAGGCAAUUUCAUGUCCGUCUGUAUGAUGUUUACCAUACUGUUUGUUUUUCUUUAGCACCAACAUAGGUAGCUACAACACUUAGAUAUUAUACAAGUGCUGCUUAUUACUAUUUCUUCCUGGGAAGUCUAGUCUCCACUUUAUCACUUACUGGUAACUCCCCUAGGGAAGUGCUGUACCCCCAAUACCUUGCACCGGUAAUUCCUUAAGGUUGUCUGGUAUCCAAUACAUACCGGUAACUCCCAUAAGGUAGUCUGGUAUCCAAUAUAUUACUUUCGAGUACCGGGUAUCUCCCCUAAAUUAGUCUGGUAUCCAAUAUAUAUAACUUUUCCAGUAACUCACCUAAGGAAGUGUGUUAUCCAAUAUACCACUUACCGGUAACUCCCCUAAAGUGGUCGUCUGUUAUCCAAAAUAUAACUUACCGGUAACACAACUUAGGUAGUCUGGUAUUCCAUAUAUCAAUUACCAGUGACUCCUUUAAAUUAGUCUGUUAUCUAAUAUAUCACUUACCGGUUACUCCCCUAUAUUAGUCUGUUAUCCAAUAUAUCAGUUACCUGUAACUCCCCUAAAUUAGUCUGUUAUCCAAUAUAUCAGUUACCGGUAACUCCCCUAAAUUAGUCUGUAAUCCAAUAUAUCAGUUACCAGUAACUCCCCUAAAUUAGUCUGUUAUCCAAUCCAUGUAUAUCACUUACCGGUAAGUCCCCUAAAUUAGUCUGUAAUCCAAUAUAUCACUUACCGGUAACUCAACUAAGGUAGUCUGGUAUCCAAUAUAUCAGUUACCGGUAACACCCCUGAAGUAGUUUCAUAUCCAAUAUAUCACUUACUGGUAACUCCCCUGACGUAGUAUGGUAUCCAAUGUAUCACUUUCUUGUUACUCCCCUAAGGUAGUCUGGUAUCCAAAAUAUCACUUACGGGUAACUCCCCUCAGCUUGUCCAAAGUCCUCUACACCACUUACCUCUUUUUAGAACAAUUUGAUAUAAGAAGAGGUAUGAUUAUUUAGCUGUGUAUGGAGUUGUGAAAAUUUACCUUUGCUAUGACUGUUUUUAAAGAUAACAUACUGUUUAUUACUAGGUAUUAUUUAAAAACAUGUACCAUACUUUUGUGAUGUUAAAAGAAGUUAAUUAACUUGUUUUAAGGAAUGUUUGACCCAGUCAAAGUGUUAAUUGUAAUUUCAAAAAGUAUUAUGUUUUUUUUUGCAUUUGUACAAGUAAAUACAUAAGCUUUCAUUGUUUUUAGUAAAAUUACAUUGAGACAUUUGCUGUGAAACUAGUAUUGAUAGAUUUAUUAUGUUGUAGCGAGUUAACUUUAUAUUUUUUUAGAUAAAUGUGUUUUGUGUUCAUUCCAUUAAAAGGAACAUUGCAUAUCAAAUUCAAGAUUGUUUAAGUGCAUCUCCUCUUUUAAGUUCAAGAAUUGGUUAAGUGUGUUACAGUGUAUACCUUACUCUGCAGAUAUAUGUAUUGCAACGAUGCACAAUUUGUUCUUAUAUUAAUUCUUUUUAUGUUUUUGUCAAAGUUUAACUAUUCACUUGCUGAAAAUGUUGUGCAUUUUUUUUGUAAAUAAGUGAUACAUUAUAUUUAUAAUUUCAAAGCUCUAAUCCAUUUCAACUAAUGACUUUGAAUGAAUUCAUUUUGUAACUUUUGUCAUUGGACAGAAUGUUCGAUCGGUUAACAUCUUCUUUGAAGUUGUUUGGAUCGCACAGGGAUAACCAAUAUAUACUGAAAGAAUUCUUCUGAUUAAUUACAUUGAAUUGUUUAACAUGUGUAACUUUUUAUAAGUUCUUUUAGUUUAUAAAUAUUGAUUUUAAAGUUUUAAUGAACAUGUAUGAAGUAUUUUUAAUACUAAGAACUAUGAUACACAUACCUGCCUUAGGACAAAUAAAAACUGUAAAGUAUUCUAAAGAAAUCCGAACACCAGUAGUUAGAUUUGUUUAAUUUAUUCACAUCUAAAGGUAUGCAAAAGAAAGUGGGUUGUAAUGUGUUAAUGUUAAAGCAUGUAUAUACGAUCUUGUCAAAUAUUUAUUUAUUAAUAUAAAAUGUGUAAAAACUUAUUAUACAUAUAUUUCAAUAUAAACUAAAAUAAAAGUUAAGAAGAACAUGUGUCGAAAAAUGCUAAAUAAGCCAGAUAUUUAAUUCUGAAAUCGAAAAAGGCUGUACAGCCGAAUUCGCCAGCAUGUAUAUCAUGCAUGUACGAUGUGAAUCUAAAUUUAGUUUAACGGUUCAUUUGAAAUUCCUGCAGCGAUAUCGAUUCAUACGACACACGAACACUUACUAAAAAGACGAAUGCAUCGGUUAUUGUAGGAAAAUAAUUACGAAUUAUCUUCGUCACAAUCGGCUCGGGGCGCUAAUUUGUAUUUGCUGUAUUUUAUGAAAUUCGUCUUAAAUGUAUCAUUUUUCUUGCAUAUUGUGUGUUAUUAGAACAUAUUUGUAUCAAUAUUUUACAAUUCAGCACAUAUAAAAAUCGUAUAUACCCGCUUUAAGAUAAAGUUAAACAUUAAGUUGUAUUUGCCCCUUAUUUUGUGGUGAUAUCAUUCAUGCUUGAGCCUUUUUUUCCCAUUGAUCACAUUGAUAAAUUACUUGGACUGGUUUACAUAUUGUAUGUGCUAAAAUCCUAUAUCAAAACUAUCAAUUGUUUUUGUUUAAUACUUACAUAUAGAGCUGUUAUUGUUGUAAAUAUUUGUCUCAGUGGAAGUCACUGAUCAUUGCUCAAACCUAGAAGGUUUAGAAUGGCUGUGAUAUUUUAAGUUAUUAUCAUUUUUAUAAACAUUUUAUUAUUAUAAUGCAGCUAAUUUGUGCGUUGUAAAUAUAAACAUGCUGAUUGGUUCAUAACGUUUUUUCCUGUCUGAAUGAUUAUUUUUCCUGACAAAAAUGUAGUGUAGAACAAUUUAAUAUUUGUAAAUUAUAUGUAAUUUACCACAUGUUUGAUGCAUUGUUUGAGGACUAAAAAA